GACGAACGCUGGCGGCGUGCUUAACACAUGCAAGUCGAACGGAAAGGCCCCUUUGGGGGUACUCGAGUGGCGAACGGGUGAGUAACACGUGAGUAACCUGCCCUUGACUUCGGGAUAACUUCAGGAAACUGGGGCUAAUACCGGAUAGGAAUCCUUGCUGCAUGGUGGGGGUUGGAAAGCUUCGGCGGUUUUGGAUGGACUCGCGGCUUAUCAGCUUGUUGGUGGGGUAGUGGCUUACCAAGGCUUUGACGGGUAGCCGGCCUGAGAGGGCGACCGGCCACAUUGGGACUGAGAUACGGCCCAGACUCCGACGGGAGGCAGCAGUGGGGAAUAUUGCACAAUGGGCGGAAGCCUGAUGCAGCAACGCCGCGUGCGGGAUGACGGCCUUCGGGUUGGAAACCGCUUUCAGCAGGGGCGAAGCUUGUGGUGACGGUACCUGCAGAAGAAGCACCGGCUAACUACGUG
rnacentral:rRNA from 1 species